rnacentral:rRNA from 1 species
UCAGCUCGUGUUGUGAAAUGUUGGGUUAAGUCCCGCAACGAGCGCAACCCUUAUCCUUUGUUGCCAGCGGUCCGGCCGGGAACUCAAAGGAGACUGCCAGUGAUAAACUGGAGGAAGGUGGGGAUGACGUCAAGUCAUCAUGGCCCUUACGACCAGGGCUACACACGUGCUACAAUGGCAUAUACAAAGAGAAGCGACCUCGCGAGAGCAAGCGGACCUCAUAAAGUAUGUCGUAGUCCGGAUUGGAGUCUGCAACUCGACUCCAUGAAGUCGGAAUCGCUAGUAAUCGUAGAUCAGAAUGCUACGGUGAAUACGUUCCCGGGCCUUGUACACACCGCCCGUCACACCAUGGGAGUGGGUUGCAAAAGAAGUAGGUAGCUUAACCUUCGGGAGGGCGCUUACCACUUUGUGAUUCAUGACUGGGGUGAAGUCGUAACAAGGUAACCGUAGGGGAACCUGCGGUUGGAUCACCUCCUUA